AUGGCGAGCGUGUACAUACCGGUGCAGGGGACGGAGGAGGAGGUGCGGGUGGCGCUGGACCACCUCCCCGCCGACGCCUCCGACAUCCUCGACAUCCUCAAGGCCGAGCAAGCUCCGCUCCACCUCUGGCUCAUCAUCGCGAGAGAAUACUUCAAGCAAGGGAAGAUCGAACAGUUCCGACAGAUUUUAGAGGAAGGAUCUGGCCCAGAAAUCGAUGAUUAUUAUGCUGAUGUGAAGUACGAGCGGAUAGCCAUCCUUAAUGCUUUGGGUGCUUUUCAUACUUUCUUGGGAAAGGCUGAGAAAGCACCACAGAAGGAAGUGCAUUUCAAAGAUGCGACUCAGUACUACAAUAGGGCAUCGAGGAUAGAUGAAACUGAACCUUCUACAUGGAUUGGAAGAGGUCAACUCUGCGUGGCCAAGGGUGAGUUGCAAAUGGCAUCUGACUCAUUCAAGAUUGUUUUGGAUGAGGAUGGGGAUAAUUUUCCAGCCCUUCUUGGUCAGGCUUCUGUUUAUUUCCUGAUGGGUGAUACGGAACAACAACACAAGAAAGCUUUGGAAUGUUAUAAGAACUCACUAGAACUCUACAAGAGAGCCCUGCGGGGAUAUGCAGAUUGUCCUGCUGCUGUAAGGCUUGGUAUAGCCUUUUGUCGAUACAAACUUGGUCAGCUAGACCGGGCCCGACAAGCUUUUGAUCGAGUCUUACAGUUGGACCCUGAAAACUUUGAUGCGCUAGUAGCACUCGCGAUCAUGGACUUGCAAACAAAUGAAGCUGGUGAAAUUCGCAGUGGGAUGGAGAAAAUGAGAAGAGCCUUUGAAAUUUAUCCUUAUUGCACUUUGGCACUCAACCACCUGGCCAACCAUUAUUUCUUUACUGGCCAGCAUUUUGUGGUUGAGCAACUGAGUGAGACUGCUCUGUCUUCAAGCAGUCAUGGACUACUGAAAUCACAAUCCUACUAUAACUUAGCCAGAUCAUACCAUAGUAAGGGUGAUUUUGAGACUGCUGGACGGUAUUAUAUAGCAUCUGUCAAAGAAGUCAAUAAACCGCAAGACUUUGUGUUGCCAUUUGUUGGCCUUGGUCAAAUACAAUUAAAAUUCGGUGACUUCAAACGUUCCUUAGCUAGCUUCGAGAAAGUGCUGGAGGUACACCCUGAAAAUUGUGAAAGUUUGAAGGCUAUUGGGAACAUCUAUGCAAACUUGGGUGAGAAUGACAAAGCCAUAGAAACCUUUAAGAAGGUUACACGGAUUGAUCCAAAAGAUCACCAGGCAUUUGUUGAACUCGGUGAAUUGUUGGUAGAAUCUGAUUGGGCUGCUGCCAUGGAAUACUUAAAGACAGCAUGUACUCUCCUAAGGAAGGCAGGAGAGAAAAUACCGGUUGAAUUGCUCAAUGGAAUUGGACUUCUUUAUUUUGAGAAGGCAGAGUUUGAGUUGGCUGAGCAAAGUUUUAAGGAAGCUCUAGGAGACGGUAUCUGGGUUUCAAUUAUGGAUGGGACUGCUGGUAGUUCCAUAGCAAACUGGAGUGUGCAGUACAGGGAUCAGAGUUUUUUUCACCAACUUGAAGAAAGCGUACCUCUUGAAUUACCCUGCGAUAAAGUCACCACAUUGUUUAACUAUGCAAGAUUAUUGGAAGAGCUUCAUGAUACUGUGAAAGCCAGCCUCCUUUACCGUCUCAUUAUUUUCAAGUACCCGGACUACAUUGAUGCCUAUCUGAGGCUAGGGUCUAUUGCAAAAGAAAAAAACAAUAUUCAACUGAGCAUUGAGCUGAUAGGUGAUGCUCUAAAGAUAAAUAGUAAGUAUCCAAAUGCACUGUCUAUGCUUGGAAGUCUUGAACUCCAGAGUGAUGAAACCUGGCUCACUGCGAAGGAACAUUUCCGUGAUGCUAAAGAUGCUACUGACGGAAAAGACCCAUACUCUUGGCUUCAGCUGGGCAACUGGAACUACUUUGCUGCCAAUCGCCCUGAGAAGAAGGCCCCGAAAUUCGAGGCUACUCAUCGGGAGAAAGCAAAGGAACUUUUUUUGAAUGUACUAAAGCAGAACCAUGGUAAUAUGUUUGCUGCAAAUGGUCUUGGAAUCUUACAUGCUGAGAAAGCCCAAUGGGAUAUUGCGAAGGAGUUAUUUACACAGGUACAUGAAGCUGCAUCAGGAAGUAUAUUUGUUCAGGUACCUGAUGUAUGGAUCAAUUUGGCCCACAUAUAUUUUGCUCAAGGCCUGUUUCAACAAGCAGUUAAAAUGUACCAAAACUGUGCGCGGAAGUUCUUCUACAACACAGAUGCAACUACACUCCUAUACCUUUCCCGAACACAUUAUGAAGCUGAGCAAUGGCAAGACUGCCGGAAAUCUUUGCUGAGAGCUAUACAUUUGGCUCCAUCAAAUUAUUUAUUACGGUUUAAUGUUGGCGUUUCAAUGCAGAAGUUUUCUGCUUCUACUCUACAGAAGACAAAACGAACAGUUGAUGAGGUUCGUGCAACAGUCUCUGAACUUCAGAACGCCAUUAGAGUGUUCAGUCUGUUGUCUGUUGCAUCAACCUACCAUUCCCAUGGUUUUGAUGAGAGGAAAAUAGAAACUCAUGUCGAGUAUUGCAGACAUUUGCUUGAUGCUGCUAAGGUUCAUCGUGAUGCUGCUGAACAAGCUGAGAAGCAAACCAAGCAAAAAUUGGAAGUUACCCGUCAAAUUGCUUUAGCUGAUGAAGCUCGCCGGAGGGCUGAAGAGCAGAGGAAAUUCCAGUUAGAAAGAAGGAAGCAAGAGGACGAAUUAAAGCAAGUAAUGCAACAGGAGCAGCACUUUGAGCGUGUCAAGGAACAAUGGAAAACAUCCAACAACACCCCUGGUAAGAGAAAAGAUAGGUCCAGGAAUGAAGAUGAAGAUGGGGACAGUGGGAAGAAGAGGAGGAAGGGUGGCAAGAGAAGGAAGGAUCAGAAGACAAAGAUGCAAUACGAAGAUGAUGAAGAAGAUCAAUACAGAAAUGAACCAGACGAAGAUGAUUAUGCAAACAUGUCAAGGGAUCCUGGCGGUGACAAACCAGAGAAAGCCCCAGAUCACCUUCUUGCGGCUGCUGGUCUUGAGGAUUCUGACGCCGAAGAUGAAACGGGUCAUCCUCAAUCCGUGAUAGAGCGGAAGAGACGAGCAUGGUCAGAAUCUGACGACGAGGAACCAGUGCAGCGAUCAGUGCAACCUACUACUAGCCCAGGCCCGAAUGAUCUGAGUGAAUGA
rnacentral:rRNA from 1 species